GCAAUGUGGGCAUUCCAAUAGAGACUUGAGCCAGCAACGUGGACAUUCCUAUAGGGACUUGAGUGAGCAAUGUGGGCAUUGCAAUAGGGACAUGAGAAUGAGCAACGUGAGCAUUCCAAUAGGGACUUGAGUGAGCAACAUGGGCAUUCCAAUAGGGACUUGAGUGAGCAGCGUGGGCAUUCCAGUAGGGACUUGAGUGAGCAAGGUGGGCAUUCCAGUAGGGACUUGAGAAACAAGUAACAUGGGCAUUGCAGUAGGGACUUGAGAGUGAGCAACGUCUGUCUUACAGACCAUAUGAUCUGGCUAGCCUUUCUAUCACAUACUAGUAUCUGAGAUUAAAUAAAUUGAUUUUUUAGUUUUGUUUUAAUACUUUUGUUGUAAAGGCUAUUUUUUGCCUUUUAUCAAAAAUGUAAAAGGUUGAACAACAUGGAAUUAAUGUAAUGGUUGAGUAUGACAAUUUUGUAUGCUUCAGACAAAUAUUUCUUUAGCCUCAUUUGCUAAAUACACUUUUAUUAAGGUAGACUAGGAACUCAGUCACCCCACAGAUUGUUGCUUCAGUACAGAAAUGAGUUCCAGAUUUAAAAGAACAUUUUAUCACUGUUUGUGAUGUUUUAAUAUCCUGACUUUUGUGGUCUUCUUGUUGCAAUAAAUAAAUAUGUCAAUAUAUUUUGUUAUAUAGUAAUAUACAUAAUAAUGUUUUAAUAUGUGUAAGUAUAUAUCAUAUAUUAAAAUAUAUGCAUUCCUGAAUUAAAUAUAUACAUUUAAAUAUAUAUAUUUUGAAAAUCAGUAAUGCUUCCAAAUGUCAGUGACUGCCCUCAGCUUCUGACAGUGCUUAAUCUAGCAGUGUUUAAACAGCAUUGCAGUGUUCCUGCUGCCAAAAUCAUAUAAGGUUCACUUUAGCCAAAGCUAAAUUAGGGGAAGAACUGAAGAUGUUAUCGGAAGUCGGAAAUGGAAACCCCAAAGAGUAUAGCACAGCUAUGAAUGCUGUAAAUGGGAAGACAGACAAGCCUUUACUUGUAGCAGUCAGUAUAGAGAUAAGGUCUUAGACUGGUAGUUUUCUGCUCUGGCUCUGUAUUAGGAUAACUUGGAGAGUUGUUUGUUUUUUUUUAAUUUUAUUUAAACUACUGAAGCCUCAAUCCUACCCCUGGGAAUAUGAUUUAAAUGGGGCCAGGA